rnacentral:rRNA from 1 species
CCUACGGGAGGCAGCAGUGGGGAAUAUUGCACAAUGGGGGAAACCCUGAUGCAGCGACGCCGCGUGAGUGAAGCAGUAUUUCGGUAUGUAAAGCUCUAUCCGCAGGGAAGAUAAUGACGGUACUUGACUAAGAAGCCCCGGCUAACUCGGUGCCAGCAGCAGCGGCAAUACGUAGGGGGCAAGCGUUAUCGGGAUUUACUGGGUGUAAAGGGUGCGGAGGUGGCAGGGCAAGUCUGAUGUGAAAGCCCGGGGCUCAACCCCGGUACUGCAUAUGAAACUGUCCAGCUGGAGUGCAGGAGAGGGAAGCGGAAUUCCUGGUGUAGCAGUGAAAUGCGUAGAUAUUAGGAGGAACACUAGUGGCGAAGGCGGCUUACUGGACAGUAACUGACGCUGAGGCACGAAGGCGUGGGGAGCAAACAGGAUUAGAUACCCGUGUAGUC